rnacentral:rRNA from 1 species
UACGGAGGGGGCUAGCGUUGUUCGGAAUUACUGGGCGUAAAGCGCACGUAGGCGGACUGGAAAGUCAGAGGUGAAAUCCCAGGGCUCAACCUUGGAACUGCCUUUGAAACUCCCGGUCUUGAGGUCGAGAGAGGUGAGUGGAAUUCCGAGUGUAGAGGUGAAAUUCGUAGAUAUUCGGAGGAACACCAGUGGCGAAGGCGGCUCACUGGCUCGAUACUGACGCUGAGGUGCGAAAGCGUGGGGAGCAAACAGGAUUAGAAACCCCAGUAGUCC